GCUCACCGUCGCGGGCUCACGGCAACGUCGUCUUCUCCUGGUUGCGGUAGACUCGUCGCCAGUCGUCAUCGCUGGUCUUCCCCUUUUCUCCGUCGAGAUUCAAACAAAUCGGAAUCUACCAUCACUACCAUUACAUCAUGAAAAAGCCUUGAGGAUUCUACAAUGUGAUGAAUUAUACUUUGUAGUUUUUGGAUAUGUUUGAUACUUUGGUUGUCUUAUGAAUAUGUUUGAUAUUGUUUGUUACUGUUAAUGUCUUUGGAGACUAUGAACAUACUAAUGUCUUUGUUGUUAUUAAUGUUGUUAAUGUCUUUGGAGAAAAAAAACAUGUUGUU